rnacentral:rRNA from 1 species
UGGGGAAUAUUGCACAAUGGGGGAAACCCUGAUGCAGCGACGCCGCGUGAACGAAGAAGGUAUUCGUAUCGUAAAGUUCUGUCCUAUGGGAAGAUAAUGACAGUACCAUAGAAGAAAGCUCCGGCUAAAUACGUGCCAGCAGCCGCGGUAAUACGUAUGGAGCGAGCGUUGUCCGGAAUUAUUGGGCGUAAAGGGUACGCAGGCGGUUUAAUAAGUCGAAUGUUAAAGAUCGGGGCUCAACCCCGCAAAGCAUUGGAAACUGAUAAACUUGAGUAGUGGAGAGGAAAGUGGAAUUCAUAGUGUAGUGGUGAAAUACGUAGAUAUUAGGAGGAAUACCAGUAGCGAAGGCGACUUUCUGGACACAAACUGACGCUGAGGUACGAAAGCGUGGGGAGCAAGCAGG